CAAUAGCGUAUAUUAAAGUUGUUGCGGUUAAAAAGCUCGUAGUUGGAUUUCUGUUGAGGAUGGGCGGUCCGCACAUCGUGCGUGUAUCUGUUACAGCCUCGGCAUCCUCUUGAAGAACGAACUGUGAUUUAUUUCGUGGUUCGGAAUUCAAGACUUUUACUUUGAGGAAAUUAGAGUGUUCACGGCAAGCAAGCGCGGGAAUACAUUAGCAUGGAAUAAUAAUAUAGGACCUUCGUUCUAUUUGUUGGUUUCUUAGAACUUAGGUAAUGAUUAAUAGGGACGAAUUAGGGGGCGAUUCGUAUUAACGACGUCAGAGGUGGAAGUUACUUGGUAUUGCGUUACGACGAACUACUGCGAAAGCAUUUGUCCAAAGAUGUUUUCUAUUGAUCAAGAACGAAAGUAUGGGGAUCGAAGACGAUCAGAUACCAU
rnacentral:rRNA from 1 species